rnacentral:misc_RNA from 1 species
GAUGAAGAACGUAGUGAAAUGCGAUAAGUAGUGUGAAUUGCAGAAUUCAGUGAAUCAUCGAAUCUUUGAACGCACAUUGCGCCCCUUGGUAUCCCGAGGGGCAUGCCUGUUCGAGCGUCAUUUCACCACUCAAGCCUGGCUUGGUGUUGGGCGACGUCCUCUUUGGGGACGCGCCUCGAAACGCUCGGCGGCGUGGCACCGGCUUUAAGCGUAGCAGAAUCUUUCGCUUUGGAAGUCGGGGCCCCGUCUGCCGGAAGACCUGCUCGCAAGGUUGACCUCGGAUCAGGCAGGGAUACCCGCUGAACUUAAGCAUACAAUAGCGGAGGA